rnacentral:rRNA from 1 species
GUAAGGAAUAUUGGUCAAUGGGCGGAAGCCUGAACCAGCCAUGCCGCGUGCAGGACGACGGCCCUACGGGUUGUAAACUGCUUUUGCCCGGGAAUAACCCCCCGCUCUUGAGCGGGGCUGAACGUACCGGGAGAAUAAGGAUCGGCUAACUCCGUGCCAGCAGCCGCGGUAAUACGGAGGAUCCGAGCGUUAUCCGGAUUUAUUGGGUUUAAAGGGUGCGUAGGCGGCCUGUUAAGUCAGGGGUGAAAUACGGCAGCUCAACUGUCGCAGUGCCCUUGAUACUGACGGGCUUGAAUACCGGUGAAGGCGGCGGAAUGAGACAAGUAGCGGUGAAAUGCAUAGAUAUGUCUCAGAACCCCGAUUGCGAAGGCAGCUGCCUAACCGGCGAUUGACGCUGAUGCACGAAAGCGUGGGGAUCGAACAGGAUUAGAAACCCGGGUAGUCC